UCCUGGUGAGCAGACCCAGCGCACAGAAACAAGGUCGCAUCUGGAAACCUACCUGCAAGGGGAUCUGGGAAGGAGCCUUCACCCUCCUCUCCUCUCCUCCUAAAAAUGAUGUAGGAGGAGGCUGGGAACCAACAGGAGCAGCCAGGCCAGCACCCCCUGAGAGAGAGGAUGCGUAACCGGGCUCCCGUUACACAGAGAACCUCGUUGCCAGAUUACAACGGCACAGCUAAGGAUGCACUUCAAUCCAUAUCAUAGGGAGCCACGUACAGAGACAGCGUCAUGAUGGCGGCCAUCUAUCUGUGGCUGUUCCAUGAAUGUUGCUAUUGGAGGGCAAGAAGGGAGAAGGACAAGAUUCGUGUAUUAAGGCGUGCUGAAAGCACCUGGUUUUGAGAAAACCUGGCUUUGAAUUGGAUUUUCCAUCGUGAGAAUUACAGAACUGCACCCAGAAACGACAACUCAUGGCUUCUCUGAUCCUACAGACAGACAGGCCGACUGGAGAUAAGAAGUGGGAACUCUAAAGAGGCGAGGGUAGCACAAUGGCUGGAAUCCAACGGGGAAGGCUUCAACAGAUCAAGGCCGCGGCAUCACAACACUUAGAUGCAAGGCCCAUGAUGCCACCAUGGGAAGUGAGUGGUGGGCGUGGGCCCAGACCCUCGCCGUCUCCCAGGGACGUGCCCAGAACCCGGGUCUUUAUUCCGUCAUGCGUGCAAGGUCAUUUGUGAGAGCUGUGCCCACACAGCCAUCAGAUGGCAACAAUUUUCAGUCACUUCCAACAUGAGACGGUUUUGAGCUUUAAUAUGCAACCAACCUAAUUAUGACUGCAAACACUUUGUUAAGCAAACAAACUUCAAACCCUUUUUAAAAAACCGCUCUUCUCUGGUCAUUCUGUCUUCUACAAAGGCUUUAAAAAUAAAACUGUGUGGGGAACUAGGGAAUCCAGGGAUGAAAAAAAAAAUUGCACAAAAUUAAAUGGUUUUACUGUAA